UUUUUUCCCUUUUUCUUCUCCUCUUUUGAAUGGAGAUUGAAAUGCCUCCUACAUGCGCACUAAAUGGGAUCAAAUGAAAGAAAACAGAAGGCAGCAAGUGAAGCAAGCACUAGGAAAGACAAAAAGCCAGCUACAACAACCACAGCAACUCAAAAACUAUUUUGUGUUUUCAAAUGAAAAUCUAACAAAACCAUCUGCUUCCUCGUGGGCCCUACCACUGAAGCACUCACCCCAUUAUAGCCCACCAAGAAACAACUCUCUCUCCCUCUUCCCCCAUCAACUUUUCCACCAAAGGCAACUCUCUUUCUUUCUCUUUUUCUUUUGCUUUCUUUCUCCCAAACUGCCCAUACGUUUUUACAGAAACAGAGGAAAACGAAGUGGCUCUGUUUUUUGAAAGUGUUUUCUCUAAAGUCUGUACCACUCAAACAAGAGUGAAUAAGUUUGGUCUUUGCUGAUGGGAUUUUGGUGAGAGAAUCAGUUUUCUUUUCUCUUUUUAAAGAUUUUGAUAUAAUGGGAAAUUGUUGGUGUAAAUGGGAGCCUUCAGUUUACAUAGUUUCAUCAAAUCCAAAGUCAGGUUUGUGUCCUUUAAAAGCUCUGUUUUCUCCCCACUUGUUCAAUAAUUCUAUGUAUCUAGAAUAAAAUUGUAAUUUAAUCCUGAAAAUGAGUUAGAUGAUCAUGAUAUAUGUCAUAAUUAAAAUCAGUUUCUCACAUGCAAACUGUAAUUCCACUUAACAUACGCUCUGUUUUUUUCUGCCCUUCCUUUUUUUUUUU
rnacentral:lncRNA from 1 species